UACGAAGGGGGCUAGCGUUGCUCGGAAUCACUGGGCGUAAAGGGUGCGUAGGCGGGUUUUUAAGUCAGAGGUGAAAUCCUGGAGCUCAACUCCGGAACUGCCUUUGAUACUGAGAAUCUUGAGUACGGGAGAGGUGAGUGGAACUGCGAGUGUAGAGGUGAAAUUCGUAGAUAUUCGCAAGAACACCAGUGGCGAAGGCGGCUCACUGGCCCGUAACUGACGCUGAGGCACGAAAGCGUGGGGAGCAAACAGG
rnacentral:rRNA from 1 species